AGUGAACGCUGGCGGUAGGCCUAACACAUGCAAGUCGAACGGCAGCACAGUAAGAGCUUGCUCUUACGGGUGGCGAGUGGCGGACGGGUGAGGAAUACAUCGGAAUCUACUUUUUCGUGGGGGAUAACGUAGGGAAACUUACGCUAAUACCGCAUACGACCUACGGGUGAAAGCAGGGGAUCUUCGGACCUUGCGCGAUUGAAUGAGCCGAUGUCGGAUUAGCUAGUUUGCGGGGUAAAGGCCCACCACGGCGACGAUCCGUAGCUGGUCUGAGAGGAUGAUCAGCCACACUGGAACUGAGACACGGUCAAGACUCCUACGGGAGGCAGCAGUGGGGAAUAUUGGACAAUGGGCGCAAGCCUGAUCCAGCCAUACCGCGUGGGUGAAGAAGGCCUUCGGGUUGUAAAGCCCUUUUGUUGGGAAAGAAAAGCAGCAGGUUAAUACCCCGCUGUUCUGACGGUACCCAAAGAAUAAGCACCGGCUAACUUCGUG
rnacentral:rRNA from 1 species